AUGUGCAGCAGCAGCAGCAGCAGCAGCAGCCCGAGCACCACAUCGCGCGCGGGGGCGGCGACCUCAGGCACGCCCGCCACCUGUUCGACCGAAUCCCCGACCCGGACCUCCCUCAUCCUAAGCUCAUUCAUUCAUUCCUUGUUCAUAGAUAUCCUAAGCUCAUUCAUUCAUUCCUUGUUCAUAGAUAUCCUAAGCUCAUUUUCUGUGUAUUGGCAAUUUGUUGUUGAGAGCUCGUCUCGACUGUUGUUGUUUAUGCCUAGCCAGUGCUACUUCAGAGAUAUCUUUGCUCCAUCGUUAGUUAUUAUGAUGAUCCAAACUGAAACUGUGAACCAUGCUGGUGUAUCGCAGAUGCUGCUGUAUGACUACUCUACUCUACGUGACCAUCUUUCAGGUUACAACUUCAAUUAUGCAGGCAUGGGUAGGGUGUUUUUCAUGUGCAAAUAUAAUCCUGCUGUGCACUUGCGUGUCCUGGAGACUAGAAAGGCUAGCAAUCAGCACAUGAAGGAGACCAUGGAUCGGAUUUCAGCAACUUGA
rnacentral:rRNA from 1 species